UGGGGAAUAUUGGACAAUGGGGGCAACCCUGAUCCAGCAAUGCCGCGUGUGUGAAGAAGGUUUUCGGAUUGUAAAGCACUUUCGGCGGGGACGAUGAUGACGGUACCCGCAGAAGAAGCCCCGGCUAACUUCGUGCCAGCAGCCGCGGUAAUACGAAGGGGGCUAGCGUUGCUCGGAAUGACUGGGCGUAAAGGGCGUGUAGGCGGUUUGUACAGUCAGAUGUGAAAUCCCCGGGCUUAACCUGGGAGCUGCAUUUGAUACGUGUAGACUAGAGUGUGAGAGAGGGUUGUGGAAUUCCCAGUGUAGAGGUGAAAUUCGUAGAUAUUGGGAAGAACACCGGUGGCGAAGGCGGCAACCUGGCUCAUAACUGACGCUGAGGCGCGAAAGCGUGGGGAGCAAACAG
rnacentral:rRNA from 1 species